UCCUUAAGCAAUACAUGUACUUAUUGCAUCCCUUCUGUUUCUUAUUCCAUCAGGUAUAGACAGUGUCUCUUGACUCCCAGCUUUAAAAGAUGAAGAUACCGGAGUUCCCGUCGUGGCGCAGUGGUUAACGAAUCCGACUAGGAACCAUGAGGUUACGGGUUCGAUCCCUGGCCUUGCUCAGUGGGUUAACGAUCCGGCGUUUCCGUGAGCUGUGGUGUAGGUUGCAGACGCGGCUCGGAUCCAGCGUUGCUAUGGCUCUGGCGUAGGCCGGUGGCCACAGCUCCGAUUCGACCCCUAGCCUGGGAACCUCCAUAUGCCGCGGGCAUUUCUACCCUUCCACCGUCAAGUCAAACAGUGAUUAAGUGCCUACUGUAUGCACGGCUCCGGUUGCCGGAUGGGUUCUUGUUCUCAAAUCGCUCCCACCACCAAAGUGGCCUCCUGGCCUGGCACAGCCGACCAGCCCCACCAGGAAAUCCGGGACUGGACCUGGGCAGAACAGAAUGGCUGUCCUCCAGAGUUUAGACAACUGGUCCACACUGAAGACAUUGUUUCUGAAAGAGUUCCCAUGACAACCUCCCUCUUCAAGAGAAUUUAUUCAAAGUCUGAUACAGACUGGCCAAACCACCUUCUACGAAGCGGACAGGAAAAAAGAGCCUACAGAAAAGGUAGGAGUUGUUAUAAAAUUGCCUUAAUUCCACUCUCUCUGCGUUACAAGCCGGGGGUGGGCAGUGGACUGCCGUGCUGUGUGCUCCAUGCAAUCGUGGGCCUCUAAUUGCUGUCAUCAAAAUGUACAUCUGUGUCACCGUAAAAAACUGCAUUUGCUGCUUGUGUCUCACGUCUUACAACAGGUAUAAAUUUGUAAAUAUUUACACCCGUGUUCCUCCCCGCCUAGAAACUGGAGGUCCGGGCCCCGAGGCAGGCCGGCCAGCACAAGGUCCGGGCAGGGAGCCCCUCUCCAAGAUAUUUUUAUUCAUGUUUAUAUCAUGGGACCUUCCCCAUCCUUAGGGCGCACCCGGUCAUAGAGUAGAGGCUCAGUAAAUUCUCAUGGAAGGAAUCACUGAGCUGACUGAUGACAUAGGGAAGGUUGUGUUCACAACCCACGAGGCUCUUACAGGUACUCAGAUUUUCUAUCAAGCAAAACUGCUGUCCACCAAGAGCAAGUUAGCCAUACCGUGGGUCCUCUGCUAAUGGUCUUGUGCGUUAAUUAUCCCUAACUGUCAAUCAUCCUCGUUCAUUAUCAAUAAUCCCCAAAUACUUUCCAGGCCAGAGAGAGAAACUGGCAUGAGAUCAGGUGUUGCUAAAAAAAAAAAAAAAAAAAAAAAAAAAAGGCAAUAAAAUCUGAGUGAGCACAACCUAUGUAAAUAAUCUUAGUAGCAGUGAUAAGAAAGAUAAUUGUUCACAGGUGUCAUAUCCUGGGCUUGAGGGGGAGGAAAUACACCUUUUUUUUUUUUUAGCAAGAGGAAAUGCUAAUCGUUUCAUUCAAUUUAUGAGCCUUAAUUAGCACACUGCUGUUGUAAUUGCUGAAAUCAUGUUCCUUUCCUGCUUUCCCUCUCUUGAGCAGAUUCCUACACCAUCAGACACUUCUACUUUCUUUGUGAAUAUGUGCAUUUUGGCAGGGCUUUGACAUUUAUCAGUAAUGAUGAUGUUGCUUCAAAAACAUGCCAUCAGUCGGCUUCUCAGUCUUUGUCUAUGGCUUAUUUCUCUCACACACACACUCAGAUACAGACACAAACACACCUCUCUUUGUGGUGCAAAUACGUAACUCAGAAAUUACUAAAAAGCUGGUUUUCUUAUAAGCUGGUCUCAUUAAUCUCCAAGUCCCUAAAUUUUGUUUUGUUUUGAUCUAUAAAGAUAAUUUCUAUAGCACUACAGCCAAAUAGUUCACAUAAAAUUACUCAGGACUCUUGGGAUCUGUCUGACUCACAUAACUUUGUUCUUCAAAAUUUCUCCUUGACAGUCUUAUUUUGAUGAUGAUGGUGAUAAUAUCCUGUAUCUUCCACCUCUUUUUCUUACCAUGUACACAAUGUCUUAGGCCUGGUGCUUUAAAUGUUAUCUUAUUUAUCCACCUAAUGUCUCUAUAGGUAGAUUAUUAACCCUCUGUUUACAAAAACAGAAACCAAAGCUAGGAGUAUAUAUAUUGUUUAAAAUCAUAUAUGCCCGAGUUCCUGUCAUGGUGCAGUGGAAAUGAAUCCAACUAGGAACCAUGAGGUUGCAGGUUUGAUCCCUGGCCUUGCUCAGUGGGUUAAGGAUCCAGUGUUGCCAUGAGCUGUGGUGUAGGUCACAGACGUGGCUCGGAUCUGGUGUUGCUGUGGCUGUGGUGUAGGCCAGCAGCUGUAGCUCCAAUAUGACCCCUACCCUGGGAACCUCCAUAUGCUGUGGGUGUGGCCCUGAAAAGCAAAAGCAAAAAAAAAAAAAAAAAAAAAAAAAAAUCAUAUAUGCCCAUUCCCUUUCUUCUCUUUGUGAGGCUUCAGUUACUCUAACAGGAUAAAGUGAGAUGUUCUAAUAUACAUCUCAGGCUAUUUCCUUUUUCAUCUUAUCUUCCUUUAUGUUUUGAUCUCCUGGUG
rnacentral:lncRNA from 9 species